rnacentral:lncRNA from 1 species
UUUCACGGUUCAUUGCUCAGUGUUAAGUUUUUGUGUUUUGGUCUAUUUUCUUAAACUAUAAGCAAUAGGUCAACUAUAUUUGUUGUAUGGAAGCAUUGUUAGCUGCUUAUUUCUGCCUGGCAUAUGGUUCAACUGACCUUGACCUCAUUUUCAUGGACCAUGUUAAGUUUAUGUGACAGUCGUAAUAAAAAGCUUUAUAUUUAGGUGUAUCAACAUAAUAUCAAUGAUUAGUAAAGUAGGCGAGACAUUUCAGUGUGUGCACUCUUGUUAAAAUCAAAAGAUGGAGCUUAUUUUUUUAGAAUUGGUGCAAAGUUAUUCCAAAAUGGAAAAAACAGUAAAUUAUGUUAGUAGUGGACAUAAAAUAUUGGGAAGUUGUUAUACUAGCACGCCUUUGAAGUCUAAAGUAUGCCAUUUUUGAUCUAUAAGGAAUAUUUAUAGAUAUACUUUUUGUAGUAUUCAAUAUCUACAUACUUUUAUUUUCUGAAUUUUUUUAAUGUGGCAGUCAGGGAAAUAACAUCACUAUUUUCAUUUAUCUCAUCAGAAAUUGAUAUCAUUAAUAAUUGGAUUAAAAUAAAUCAAAUACUAGUGUUAUUUUCAUGUCAGUCAUUGAAACAAGCACCUGCCAUGAAAGUUUAAAUAAUUUAGGGCAUCAUUUAAACUAGAAACACUUCUGCUGCUAGGCCACCAUGGACAUUUGUUAUUUACUGAAAGUGAGGCUUAGUUUCUAAGAGUAUCAGUGUUACCUUCUGCAUUAAAUUUAAUCAUGCUAAAAUCUGGUGUAUAGAAGGAAAGAUGAAUGUUUAUGUCAGUUCAGAAAUUAUUUUUUUAUCUCCUAUGAUGUUUAUAAAUAAGUUGCAAAACAGGAAGAACUUCAUUUAGUUACAGCGGAUUCCAUUGAGUGUGAAGCCAAAGGUAAUAUCUUUGGUUAGCUUCCUUGUUAGCUGAACCGUGAAGUCAUUGUUAGGUUAGGUAAAUUACCCUACUUUAAGAAUAGACUAGUCUGACAGAAAACCAAUUGUUCUGUCUGUUGGACUAUGCUACUUUGAUAGGAGGGUAGUAUACCUGACCUAAUAAUGACUUCACGGCUCAGCUAACAAGCAAGUAACCAAAGAUAUUACCUUUGCUACACACUUGAUGGAAUCCGCUGUAAAGUUUUACUUGUGAUACAUGUCCAUGUUGAAUAAAUUUGUUGUGUAUUUCUUGAUUCUGCCCAACAAUAUUUAAAGUGAUUUGUGCCAUUAUUUUUUUCAACAAUUCCUAAAAUUUUGAAAUUUAAUUCAUUAUUUAAAUUUAGAAUGGCCAAAAAAACAUAUAUUUUUCUCUUCAUUGCACUUGAAAUUAUUUUAAAGCACAUUUUAAAAUAUUCUAUAAAUUCAGUCAGAGGUUCCUGAUGAUGUUGAAAGCACAAAAUGUAAUUGUAUCUUGACAAUAUGUAACCACCAUUUUAACAUCUUUGUUCUAAUAACCGCAAUAAGUCAAUUCCAAUUGAACAGAAAAACAGUGAAACAAAAAAAAACUAAGAACCAAAAUACUUUAAAAAUCUUUUCUUUUGAAAAUGUCAUUAUAUUUUUUCCAGUCUCAGGAGUAAUAGUAGAUAUUAAGAACAAAAGUUAUUCUAUGUUUAUGUUUGCUAGUGCUAUAAUGUCUGGUGCAGGAUAUAUGUAUAUGAUGUUGCUAUGUUGUAUUUGUUAUCCUAUUGUUGUAAUAAAAUCUAAAAAUCUAAAGAAAAUAAAAGGAUAGAAAUUUA